rnacentral:rRNA from 1 species
AUUGAACGCUGGCGGCAGGCCUAACACAUGCAAGUCGAAUGGUAACAGGAAACAGCUUGCUGUUUCGCUGACGAGUGGCGGACGGGUGAGUAAUGUCUGGGAAACUGCCUGAUGGAGGGGGAUAACUACUGGAAACGGUAGCUAAUACCGCAUAACGUCGCAAGACCAAAGAGGGGGACCUUCGGGCCUCUUGCCAUCAGAUGUGCCCAGAUGGGAUUAGCUAGUAGGUGGGGUAACGGCUCACCUAGGCGACGAUCCCUAGCUGGUCUGAGAGGAUGACCAGCCACACUGGAACUGAGACACGGUCCAGACUCCUACGGGAGGCAGCAGUGGGGAAUAUUGCACAAUGGGCGCAAGCCUGAUGCAGCCAUGCCGCGUGUAUGAAGAGGGCCUUCGGGUUGUAAAGUACUUUCAGCGGGGAGGAAGGGAGUAAAGUUAAUACCUUUGCUCAUUGACGUUACCCGCAGAAGAAGCACCGGCUAACUCCGUG